AGCAGGAGGAGUGCGUGCGGGUGCCCGGGCGGUAGCGCGCUACAUCUGGCUCAGCUCUCCAGGCAUGACGCGGCCCGCGCCGCCGGCCCAAGCCAGCUCGGCUCCGGCUCCAGGAAUCGACAUGCGGAGCGGCUAGCGUCAAAAGCAGCGGAGACGGCGGUUCCGGAAAGCCUGACCCUCGUCGUACAGGAUCUGCCAGGAACUACCAGUAACGGUCAGCGGGGAGCGGCCGGCCGCGACGAGAAGAGAGGCGCCCUUAGCGCGGGGCAGCCCCGCCCCAACGCCACUGCCAUGUCCACGUCUUCCACUGGCUACGC